UGAACGACGAGUUUGAUCCUGGCUCAGGACAAACGCUAGCGGCGUGCUUAACACAUGCAAGUCGAACGCUCUCUGGCAUUAGUCAGAGGGAGUGGCGGACGGGUGAGUAACACGUGGGUAACCUACCUCAAGGUGAGGAAUACCAACGAGAAAUCGUUGACAAUACCGCAUGAGCUUCUUCGGGAGCAAAGCUUCUCGUAUUGAGAGGCGCCUUGAGAUGGGCCUGCGCCUGAUUAUGCUAGUUGGUGGGGUAAAAGCCUACCAAGGCGACGAUCAGUAGCUGGUCUGAGAGGACGACCAGCCACACUGGGAUUGAGAACGGCCCAGACUCCUACGGGAGGCAGCAGUGAGGAAUUUUCCGCAAUGGACGAAAGUCUGACGGAGCAACGCCGCGUGCAGGACGAAGGUCUUCGGAUCGUAAACUGCUUUUAUCGAGGAAGAGAACGGACGGUACUCGAUGAAUAAGCCCCGGCUAACUACGUGCCAGCAGCCGCGGUAAUACGUAGGGGGCGAGCGUUGUCCGGAUUUAUUGGGCGUAAAGGGCCCGCAGGCGGUCCGCCAAGUUUGGGGUGAAAGCUCCUCGCUUAACGAGGAGAGAGCCGCAAAAACUGGUGGACUUGAGAGCGAGAGAGGGACAUGGAACUCCGGGUGAAGCAGUGAAAUGCGUAGAUAUCCGGAAGAACACCAAAGGCGAAGGCAGUGUCCUGGCUCGUAUCUGACGCUCAGGGGCGAAAGCCAGGGGAGCGAACGGGAUUAGAUACCCCGGUAGUCCUGGCCGUAAACGAUGACCACUCGACGCACGAAGAUUCGACCCUUUGUGUGUCUAAGCUAACGCGAUAAGUGGUCCGCCUGGGGAGUACGAUCGCAAGAUUAAAACUCAAAGGAAUUGACGGGGACCCGCACAAGCAGCGGAGCGUGUGGUU
rnacentral:ncRNA from 1 species